CUAGUAACGGCGAGUGAAGAGGAAAGAGCUCAAAGUUGUAACCUAUUUGGCUUAGCCAAAUCGGAUUGUAGACUGGAGAAGUGUUUUAUGGCACACCGGGCAAAGAAGUCCCUUGGAACAGGGCAUCAUAGAGGGUGAGAAUCCCGUGACUUUGCCUGAGCAUAGUUGUCAACUUUAAUACACUUUCAAAGAGUCAGGUUGUUUGGGAAUGCAGCCUAAAUUGGGUGGUAAAUCUCACCUAAAGCUAAAUAUUGGCGAGAGACCGAUAGCGAACAAGUACCGUGAGGGAAAGAUGAAAAGAACUUUGAAAAGAGAGUUAAACAGUACGUGAAAUUGUUAAAAGGGAACCGUUUGGAGCCAGACCGGCUUUACCGUAAUCAAUCUAGGUUUCGACCUGGAUGCACUUGCGGUAUGUGCCUGCCAACGACAGUUUUUUCUAAGGGAAAAAAUUAAGAGGAAUGUGGCCCCUCGGGGUGUUAUAGCCUUUUAAAAAAUACCUUGGAUUGGACUGAGGAACGCAGCGAAUGCCAUUAGGCAAGAUUGCUGGGCGCUUUAACUGAUAGAAGCUAGAAUUUCUGCCUUGGGUGGUGCUAGUUUCUAAAGGGUAAACUCGCUUAGUAUAUUUUUUAUUCGCUUAGGUUG
rnacentral:rRNA from 1 species